GUGAGAAGUCCGGCUUGCUCGACUGAAGCCCGGACGUCCCAGGAUGCGAGUGCCCAGUGGGCCACUUUUGGUAAGCAGAACUGGCGCUGUGGGAUGAACCAAACGCUGGGUUAAGGCGCCCGAUGCCAGACGCUCAUCAGAUCCCAUGAAAGGUGUUGGUUGCUAUAGACAGCAGGACGGUGGCCAUGGAAGUCGGAAUCCGCUAAGGAGUGUGUAACAACUCACCUGCCGAAGCAACUAGCCCUGAAAAUGGAUGGCGCUGUAGCGUCGAGCCCAUACCCGGCCGCCCCGGCUGGGCACGGAAGCUUAGGCCGGGGUGAGUAGGAGGUGUCGCAGCGGCGUGCGUUGAAGGUGCCGGGCGUGGGCCCGCCUGGAGCCGCCGCUGGUGCAGAUCUUGGUGGUAGUAGCAAAUACUCAAGUGAGAACCUUGAGGAUUGAGGUGGAGAAGGGUUCCAUGUGAACAGCAGUUGAACAUGGGUCAGUCGGUCCUAAGGGAUAGGAGAAAUCCGUUCCGAAGCGGGACCUGCGUGCACCGUGAGGUCCCGUGGUCGACCGAAAGGGAAUCGGGUUAAUAUUCCCGAACUCGGACGCGGAGAUCGGCCCCUCGGGGUCAACUGCGGUAACGCAACCAAACUCGGAGACGUCGAUCGGGGUCCCGGGAAGAGUUGUCUUUUCUUUGUAAGGGAUCGGCUCCCUGGAAUCGGCUCGCCCGGAGAUAGGGAUGCUGUUCCCGUAAAGCACCGCGGCUCUUGCGGUGUCCGGAGCGCUCCGGUCGGCCCUUGAAAAUCCAGGGAGAGUGUGAUUUUCGUGCCGGACCGUACCCAUAUCCGCAGCAGGUCUCCAAGGGGAACAGCCUCUAGUCGAUGGAACA
rnacentral:rRNA from 1 species